CGUUAAGAUGAUCGUUGGUCUUUCCUUCAAUUUUCGAAUAUUCGUAUCGUUGAUCGUUUCAUCCUUUCAAACUGAAUCAUCGAAUAUUUCUCCUAACUUUUGAAAUAUCACAUUAAUUUGAACAAAACGAGGUAUAAUAAAUCCGAUAUCGCGGAUCAUCGUGCUGCUUUAACAAUUGAAACGUUAAUUCAAGACAAUAAAUACAAACGUGACGAGAUCGCGUAGCAGUAACGUAAAUCGAUUAAAAGUUUUGCUGGAUCGAAUAAUUGCGAUUACGAUAGAUCGAUUUCGCGAUACUGCUGCGCAUUGAACAGUUGUGCAUCUGGUAAUUAUACCACUGUUCUCCAUGUUACAUCUCGCGAGAGAUUGAUCGAUCGAUUGUACGCGACUAAUUUCGAAACUCUGGCAAAAGACGUGUGUACAAGGAACAGUGGGAAGGAUAGAAAGUACAAGUGAAUUAUUUCUCUUAUAAUAUUCUCGCCGCGGCUCCACAGAUGUGAACGAUAAUAUCGAAUCAGCGUGCAACUCGUUUCCUACAACAGUUGCAAACGGAUCACAAUUUAUCGAAGCAAACGUACUGGCGAUACUAUGUCAUUCUGACAAAGAAGAAUAAAUUAAUCGAAUAAAUUAUUUCGCAUCGUAAAUACCUUAUGAUUGUGUAUACUAUUGACUAACUAUAUUUUGGUGGGUCCAAAGAGUUCUGUUUCGCCAAGUAAAUUGAUACAAAUGGUUUCAAUAGGUUUCCAUUGUUUUCGGCGAAUGAAAGGUUUGAACGAAAAGGCAUAUUCGCGACGUUCUGAGCUCGAGGGCAGCGUGGAUGGAUGCGAAGAAACCCCCAUUAAGUUGUUACGCCGACUUAUCCUCCUGCACGUCGAUUAAUCGCCGUCUCAGUUCGGUGCAACGACAUUUCGCCUUCCUCAUAGGGAGGCAUCUUUCGCCGCUCUUCUUUUUCCGCACGAAAUUUCGCCUCGAGCUUGUAGACGAGAAGCGCCACUCGAAAAAGACGUUCGAUACGAGGAAGAGGUUAGGUCCUCGCCCGCGGUCCCCUCUCGACCGUUCUCGUGAUAGCUGUGAGGGCCGUUUAUUAAGGAAAGGUUUACUCAUUGGGGCCGUCUCUGGGCCGAUUUCUGCGGGUUUUUGACCGCUCUAGGAAUUCAUCCUCCGCGCGGAUGAACGUUACACUUCAUGGUUUCAUGGCCCAUUCCACGCCUUCCAAAAUUUUGUCCCGAGGAAAGGGUUCAUUUCGAAAGAAUUCUUUUCCUGCGUCUCGAACUUCUCUGAAAAUGAAGGGAUUCUGGAGGUGCGAGAGAUGGUAC
rnacentral:lncRNA from 1 species